rnacentral:lncRNA from 10 species
GGGAUCAGGACACAGACACACACAGGGAGUCCAUGUGGAGGCACAGGGAGAAGGCAGCAUCUACGAGCCAACGAGGGAGAAACCACCCCAGCUAACCCCGUGAUCUUGGCCUUUUGGGCUCCAGAGCUGUGGGAAGCUCAAGGUGGGCUCAGGAGAUGACCUUGACAGAGAACCCUCUCCUCUGCAAAGCAGAUGAACAUUGGGUGUUUUAGAAGAAAGAUUCUCUGAAGCCGAGCACACCAACAGCAGCACAGGAAAGUCUCCCAGGCUCCCGAGGAAUGUUUCACAGCCUCCAACUGUGCCUUGGUCCUUGUCCUGGGAGAGCUCCCAUCCCCAUGGUGCAGAAGGGGCAGCCAUGCGAUCAGGGCCACCUUCCAGGCUGCAGAGAAUAGCACAGCUGCUCAAACAAGAGCCCAGACUUGCCGCUACAGGACAUCAGAGUCACUCAGGACCCCCAAGGUAGCCUGCUUGGUGGAAUGGAUGAGGUCUACGGGAUACCCCACAUUCGAGAGUAAGUGGGAGGCCAGGGGUUGCUGAGAUCCGCAGCAGGAUGAGGACAUGGCCUGGCCUGUGGGCCUUAGGGGUGUCCUCAGGUCCUGGACCACCAGCCAGAUGGGGCCAUAGACCACCCUUGGGUCACAGACCACCAGCCAGAUGGGGACUGCCCCAAAUCACUAAGCUAAAGGGAAAAGUCCAGCUGGAAACUGCUUGGGGCCAACCUGCCUCCCAUUCUAUUCAAAGUCACCCCUCUGCUCACUGAGAUAAGUGCAGAUCUGAUUGCCUCCUUUCAGAACUCAAAAGAAUGCAAUCACUUGUCUCCUAUCUACCCAUGACCUGGAAGCCCCCUCCACGCUUUGAGUCAUCCUGCCUUUGCUUCAAGUUUUCCCGCCUUUCCAGACUGAACCAAUGUUCAUCUUGCAUAUGUUGAUUGAUGUCUCAUGUCUGCCUAAAAUGUAUAAAACCAAACUGUGCUCUGACCACCUUGCACACAUAUCACCAGGACCUCCUGAGGCUGUGUCACGGGUGCACAUCCUUAAUCUUGGCAAAAUAAACUUUCUAAAUUAACUGAGAC